UACGUAGGGUGCAAGCGUUGUCCGGAAUUAUUGGGCGUAAAGAGCUCGUAGGCGGCUUGUUGCGUCGGCUGUGAAAUCCCGGGGCUUUAACUCCGGGCGUGCAGCCGAUACGGGCAGGCUAGAGUCCGGUAGGGGAGACUGGAAUUCCUGGUGUAGCGGUGAAAUGCGCAGAUAUCGGGAGGAACACCCGUAGCGAAGGCGGCACUCUGGGCCGGAACUGACGCUGAGGAGCGAAAGCGUGGGGAGCAAACAGG
rnacentral:rRNA from 1 species